rnacentral:rRNA from 1 species
UACGGAGGAUGCGAGCGUUAUCCGGAUUUAUUGGGUUUAAAGGGUGCGUAGGCGGACUGUCAAGUCAGCGGUAAAAUUGAGAGGCUCAACCUCUUCCCGCCGUUGAAACUGGUGGUCUUGAGUGGAUGAGAAGUACGCGGAAUGUAUGGUGUAGCGGUGAAAUGCUUAGAGAUCAUACAGAACACCGAUUGCGAAGGCAGCUUACCAAGCUACUUCUGACGUUGAGGCACGAAAGCGUGGGGAGCAAACAGG